CGCUGGAUUAAAUUUUAACAUUCAAAACACAAAUUUAAAAAUAUUGGGGGUUAAAUUUAACAGAGAGGGGGGUGGGAGUGGAAAUUGGCAUGAUGCAAUUGGGACAGUAAGGAAAAAAUUGGCAUUCUGGGGACUGAGACAAUUGACUUUUGAAGGAAAAGUUUUAAUCAUAAAAGCAGUGAUUUUACCCUUGUUUUUAUUGUUAUGUUCUGGUUUUUUCCCCCCUAGAUCUUUUCUCCUAUCCCUGGACCGAGCCAUCUUUUACUUUCUAUGGGGGUCGAAGUGGGAGAGGUUAAAAAGAGAAACAGUAAAAAAAGCACCAAAAAGCGGAGGAAAAGGCAUACCAGUUCUUUGAUUUUAGGGGCCAAAUAUACAGCACUCCACAUAAAGUACGCUCUGGGGUCCUUUUUAAGAUCCCUUAAAAUUUUAUCAGUAGACUUGACGACACCCCUUGCGUUCGAUCAACCCCCUGCAUACAAUUUCAUAAAAAAGUUCUUAAAGAUUUUUAAGUUGGAGAAAGAAAGUGAGACAGUUUUAACUAAUCACUGCUCUAUCCUCUCUUGUGUGCAGGAACGGGAACAAGUGUGUUCAGUGCACGGGCUCACCAUGGUUGAAGCCCCAAAAGUUUGGCGCAAUGUGGCCCACCCAGCUCUUCAGAACCGACACCGGGACUUGCCGUGGAUGAUUGCCCACGAGAAGGAGGGCCAGUCCCGGCACUACGUGAGGGCUCCGUACAGUAAGAUUUCCAUCUGCCCACGGCCUGGGUGUGGCGCACCAGAGACCGUGAGGCACGCACUCUGGGAGUGCAGUGCCAUGAGGGACCUGUGGGCAACAGCUGGUCCCCAGCAAUUCCCGUACCUGCCAGCAGGGGGGGUCCCAGACUACCUGAUGGUCAUAGGUGGGGUGAGCCAAGAAGAAAUGCCAGUACACAUGCACACCAAAUGGUGGCUCACCCUCAACUGCAUCAAAGACGCCAUUUGGACCUCCAGAAACCUGCUGGUAGGGAAGCGCAUGCAGGUGUCCCUCCACGCCAUCGUACAGCUGGCAAAAUCAAGGCUGCAGGAGUACACUGCAUGUCGCCAUUCGGACGUGGGGACCAGAGCUUCACAAGGAAAGGUUCCC
ensembl:lncRNA